rnacentral:rRNA from 1 species
GGUAAAUCUCGUGCCAGCCACCGCGGUUAUACGAGUAACACAUACUAAUACUCCACGGCGUAAAGGGUGAUUUAAAAAUUUCUUAGUACUAUUAAAGUUAAAAUUUUAUGUAGCUGUUAUACGCACCCAUAAACAAGAAAUACACUAACGAAGGUGACUUUAUAAAAAUUGAUUUUUUGACCUCACGACAAUUAAAAAC